rnacentral:rRNA from 1 species
ACUCCUACGGGAGGCAGCAGUGGGGAAUAUUGCACAAUGGGCGCAAGCCUGAUGCAGCCAUGCCGCGUGUAUGAAGAAGGCCUUCGGGUUGUAAAGUACUUUCAGCGGGGAGGAAGGCGAUAAGGUUAAUAACCUUGUCGAUUGACGUUACCCGCAGAAGAAGCACCGGCUAACUCCGUGCCAGCAGCCGCGGUAAUACGGAGGGUGCAAGCGUUAAUCGGAAUUACUGGGCGUAAAGCGCACGCAGGCGGUCUGUCAAGUCGGAUGUGAAAUCCCCGGGCUCAACCUGGGAACUGCAUUCGAAACUGGCAGGCUAGAGUCUUGUAGAGGGGGGUAGAAUUCCAGGUGUAGCGGUGAAAUGCGUAGAGAUCUGGAGGAAGACCGGUGGCGAAGGCGGCCCCCUGGACAAAGACUGACGCUCAGGUGCGAAAGCGUGGGGAGCAAACAGGAUUAUAUACCCCUGUAGUCCCAUGAU